CUCUUCCUGACCCACAUAUUGUCGAAACAUAGCAUAAAGGCAUAUUAUUUACCUGAAAAUUCUUUCGAAAAAUGGAUUCAAGAACAAACGGAAUAUACUCCUAGGCAGAUGAUGAAUCUUCUUCAAUACGUAAGUCAAGGCAGUAAAAAGAUUCGGCUGAACUUAACUUCCUUCAUGGAAGAUUUAGAUUUGAAUCGUCGAUAAAGAUCUUUGUUAUGAUUCAAGUGAUGAAA